UCGGCAUAUCAAAUAUUAACUCCAGCGUUUGUUUGCUUAAUGACAUAUUAGGCUAACUUGUAUUUCAGCGAAUUAUCGUUAAGGUUUGUAAGGGAUAUGGCGUAGAUUUAGACAUCUUACAUGUAAGUCUUAGCUCAUUGUUUCCUGAAAUAUGAACGUUCGAAAUUAUGCAAGAAUUUAAUAUUAGGUCUUUGCAAACUUAAAUGUACAUGAAAGACUGACCAUGGAAGGCAGGCGCUUAAAUUUUUCGUAUUCUUAAAUAGCCUAAUUUUUUUAUGUUUUUAAUGGGUUCAAACAGACUA
rnacentral:lncRNA from 1 species